GAGGGAGAGGGAGUUGAUCGGAGAUUCUCAAAAAUGGUAAACUAUCACUUCGUGUACAAGGACGUGGAAUGAGCUUCGACUCAAUGGGACGAUAUUUAGAGAAAAUUAGGAAACCUCCCUCCGAAGCCCCCUACAAUCAAGCCCCCAUCUUUCAAGCCCGUCGAGGACGAAGACUCUAAACACAAAGACAAAGCCCGCCACCGCGACUGCGACUACCACCGACGACUACGACUCUAAACCUUGCUGGAAAUAGCUUCACUGGUGGCAUCCCGUAUUCCAUAUCUCAAAUGACUUCCCUAAAAUACCUAAAUGUUGGUCACAAUCAACUUCAAGGCCAAGUGAAUGACAUGUUUGGUGAGCUUUUAUUCGUCUCCACGUUGUAACUCCACUAACAAGACCGGGCAUGCAAGUCUAGUGAGCAUCAGGUAGCACAACAGGUGAUUGCUUGUGCGCAUUCUACCACAUUAACAGCACACCUACAAUGGUGGAUUGAUACGUAUACUGUAAUUUUCAAGAACCCUCUACCGUUGUAGCAGUGUUCUGCAAACUUGUGUCGAUUUGAAACUUGCGAGCUCUCUGCUAGAUUUUGAAUGCCAUUUCAAUGAAGUCCUUGAGAAGAAGAUGCGAUGAGUUUAGUUGUUUUGUUAUGUAGAUAGAUAUAACUCCAAUUACAAUCUGUUCAUUGAAUAGUUGAAUGUUACAAACAAUGCUUAUGACACUAGCCUUAUAAAUUGGAAAUGAUACUUUUGAAAUC